CCAAGGAAGGAUCCUUGACUUUGGGAUACAGCUAUAUUCUCUCCUCACUUUGUGUGAUUGUGCACCCUGCCCUGAUCAGCUCCACCUGUGUCUGGUGCUCCUCUUGUUUGGUGCUCAGUGUUCACCUGCCUGCCUCUGGACUAAUAAAUCACGGGGUUCACUCCUAACUCCUGAUGCUGUCUUCACAUGUGGAGGAUGGAGCCCGCUCCCUGUAGAUGACCGGGUACUGCAAGGAAAAGAAGCGGUUAAAGGAAGUCACCAUGUCUCUGCCGUUUGAGGGGAAGUUCCUCCUGAUCUUGUGGACGUAGAGGAGCAGCAGAAAAACAACCAGCAGCAACACACCAACCAUGGACACACACACGACCAGAGGCAGGAGGUAACCUGAAUGAGUGGGACUGGUGGUGGCUGAGAGGGAAACACAGCUGAUUAAAAUGCAUCACAAGGAACGGCAUAAAAAAGACUGUACUGGAACAUCAGGUUGUGCUUCAAUAGUGAGCCUCUCAGUGGCUUAACCCAGAACCUCCCCGGCCCACCAGCCCGUCUGACCACCGCGGGGUCCAGAGCCUGCAGCUCUGUUUUAACUGGCAUAUUGUACCUGGAAUCACAUAUCACAUCCCCAUCCUAUUCACUGAGUUGUUCAAUUAUUAUUGUUGUUUAUAAGUUAUCUAUUUUUUUGUAAGUUGUUCUCUGACACUGUACGGUGACCUUGAAUGAUAUGAAAGGUGCCUAUAAAUAAAAUUUUUAUUAUUAUUAUUAUACAAUUGAAUAUCCCUCUAAAAAUGUAAAAACAUCUAAAAAUGUCCAAGUCAGGGAGGAAAACUACUCCCAUCCCAUUGGUUGACAUGUGGGUCAGUCUGAGUUUCUUUAGUGAUGUGAGCAAAAUAAAGUAGCAAGAUUUAUGUUUAAGUC